UUAUGUGAAGAUGCUGAGUGCUUCAUCUGACCAAGACUAUAAAUAGUGCAUCUUGUCUCCCUGUGUGAAUCCUACUUUGGGUGGUAUGAUCUUCAUAAAAAAGAGUUCUGGGAAAGUUAGGCUGUGCCUCAUUCCUGCCUGGCUUUGUUCUCUCCCAGCAGAGAAAUGUUCAACAAGAAGGAGCAAAACGCAAUUCUGCUUGAUUGCAGAGUUUUGCAGUUGUUGUCUUCACCUAGCUCUUCAAAGCUGACCUCAUAAUGGAGGUUAAAGAAAAGAAGAAACAAUUUCUGUUUUCUCCAUGAAAAAGUGUCUCUGUGGGAGGAGAGCUGCACAUUGCUGGAGCACGAAGGAGCAUGUUGCAGAAUGAAACCAGGCUGUUGCACAAAGAAGCCAGCAAUGGUGAUGGAAUUGCUGAGUGUCUGGAAGGAAGAGGUAUGAAACAAAGAUCAUCAGAUAUCAGAAAACACAAUACAGACUGCCACAAUUUAGAAAUGACUAUGCACUGUCUCAUAAUUCACAGUGGAAUUGGAUAUUCUACAGAAAAAGACACAAUCAAAAGAGAAAAGGAAAAAGCUGAUCUUUUUAUUAAACCAUAAGUUGGAAGUCAUCCAAAGAUAACACUUGUAUGGUAAUUGAUGUAGAGGUUAUGAGACAGCAAGCCAAGGAGAUACACAAA